rnacentral:rRNA from 1 species
GUAGGUGGCAAGCGUUGUCCGGGAAUUAUUGGGCGUAAAGCGCGCGCAGGCGGUUCGUUUAAGUCUGAUGUGAAAGCCCACGGGCUCAACCGUGGAGGGUCAUUGGAAACUGGAGAACUUGAGUACAGAAGAGGAAAGCGGAAUUCCACGUGUAGCGGUGAAAUGCGUAGAGAUGUGGAGGAACACCAGUGGUGAAGGCGGCUUUCUGGUCUGUAACUGACGCUGAGGCGCGAAAGCGUGGGGAGCAAACAGGAUUAGAUACCCUGGUAGUCCACGCCGUAAACGAUGAGUGCUAAGUGUUAGGGGGUUUCCGCCCCUUAGUGCUGCAGCUAACGCAUUAAGCACUCCGCCUGGGGAGUACGGCCGCAAAGGCUG